UAUUGGUUACCUGUGCGCGUAACUGUAAACAUAUUGAAUAGCAAACAUAUCCCUACAAAGUUUAACUUUUUAUUUUUAUCUCUACAAAAGUCCAGUAAUAUUCAUAUUUGCUCUACUGGUUUGUUAUCGUUAGAGUAUUGUUUAUUUUUUAACAGCAGUUAGGUGAAAUGAUAUUUUUAUCCUUAUAAAUAUAUUUCUUCAAAAGUUCAAAUUAUUAAAAUUAUACAAAAAUAUCCUCCAAAAAAAUAUUUUAUUUAAUAAUAUAAGAAAACGUAAAAAGAUUAAUUUAACUCAUUUUCUAAUCAGAAUUAAAUAUUUUACUCAUGAUUAACUAUUUUUUUCUAACGGAUCCUAAGAAUAAGGAUAUAUUUGAAAACGAUAAGAUAUUUACAGGAAUAAAAAAAAAAAAAAAAAUUUUGUAAAGAUAUAUCUGCUAUGCUAUUCGAUAAAUUUACAAGAAGCUGUUCGUACUUAAUUUUAUUUUAAAAAUCAGUCCGAU
rnacentral:lncRNA from 1 species